rnacentral:rRNA from 1 species
AUGUACCAGGCGAUCCCCUACAGCGUCGGCCGGCUGCCGGCGUGCCCGCGGCGGUCCGAGCAGGCCGAGGCUAAGGGCGCGGCCGGCCAGGAGGGCGGGCCGGCGAGGGGCGACGGCGGGGAUGCGGUGAGGAGGUCGAUGGCAGAGAGCCUGGUGCUAGUUGUGGGGAGGCGCGGGUGCUGCCUCAGCCAUGUGGUGAAGCGGCUGCUGUAGGGGCUCGGGGUGAACCCCGCCAUGCACGAGGUCGCUGACGACGACGAGCUCACCGCGGCGGUUGCCGGGAACGCUGGAGGCGAGGCCGUUGUCGCGCUGCCGGCGGUGUUUGUCGGUGGGAGGCUCCUCGGCGGGCUCGAUCGGCUCAUGGUCGUGCACAUCUUCGGCGAGCUCGUGCCCAUACUCAAGGACACCGGCGCGCUCUGUCUCUGA